CACGACAGACGAAUGGUGGGUGUCAAAGGAGAGACGUCUGCCCGGGGCAAGUCCCGGGAACUCUCUUUUAUUGAAUAUUACAAACAUUGCCACAGGUGUGCUUGUGGCUGAUUGGUUGAUACAAACACAAAGCAUCUUGUUGCUGAUUGGUUAACAUAGGUACAAGGCGGGCAUUACAUAUGACAUCAAUCACUGAUAGUUCAAAAGUCUGGGAACGGAGCUGGAACUAGACAGGCAUGAAACCUCCUAAUUAAAUUAUAACUAAAGAUUGAUAUUGAGAGAACAUAACAUGAAGGAAUACAACAAUCACGUUCCGUAAAUGUGGUCAGCAAAGCAUUAAGAACAGGUCAGGAUACACUGUUUCAUGAACUCAAUGGGAACUGUUCAGAACAUUCUCAGACUUAUGUGCAGAGGCAAAAACUUCCCAGAAUGUAAGAGAGAAAAGAAGCAAUAGUGCUCAUAGUAAGCAUAGAAAGAUUUCAUAGUAAGACUUCCCACAAUGCAACAGUUAUGUGCAGUAAGAGAACUGCAGAAAGAGAACUUCACAGUGAGAGAACUGCAGAAAGAAAACUUCCCUUCAGGGGUACAUAAAUAAAGCCAUAGGCUAUGCAAAUAACAGAUGGAAUAAGUGGCAGAAUUCUCUGCUAGGUUUUGUGACCUCUGCCAUUUCUCAAGGACAGGGUCACAGACAUCUGAACACAAUUGACCUGCAUUUAAUAAGAAAUGAGUUCUUAAAGGACUGUCAGCGUUUAUUUGUGGUUUUCCUUUGGUGAUGUAGAUAUAAUUCAUGUUUGUGAGGUGCCCCCCUCCCUCCUUUUUACGUGCUCCUGGCUCCUAGUCAAGUAACCAGUUCAUGUUCUGUAAUUCACACAGAAAUCUUCAGCACCACAGGGCAGGUGUAUCUGGUACUGAACACUUUUUGCCUGAACAGAUUUCAGAAAAACACAACAGCUCUUGGUAUUCAAUGUUACCUGUUUAGUUACUCUACUCUGAAUGCCCUUGCUUAGUUAAUUGAGUCCACUUUUCUGCAUCAACAAAACACACUUUGCAUCUUAAACAAAACUCCCAUCAGGAUUCCAGUUGGAACCAGUUUUGUGUUUUUUUUAAUAAUAUUUUUUAUUAAUUUUCAUCAUGAAAAAUACAUAUCACACCACAUUACAACUUUAACAAAUUUUCUCGUUUUUGGACUUCCUUCAGCCUCUCUGACAAUCAUCCGAAUUAAACUUUUUAAUUACACAUUUCCUAAAUUUGCUAUUGCCUUUUGACAUACCCUUCCACCCCUAUUUUUCUUUUUUACAAUAUUUCUUAGGUUUUUACAGAGCUUCUUUAAAUGCCACUAACGUUAUUUCAUUGUCACUUAUACAUUCCCAAUAUUCCACUAACUUUCCCCAGUCCUCGAUGAACUUUUGAUCUCGUAGAUAUCUAAUCUUCCCUGUCAGUUCAUCAAGCUCUGCAUAGUCCAUCAGCUUCAUUCUCCACUCCUCCAAUGUUGGUACUUAUUCUUGUUUCCAAUUCUGGGCCAGUAAUAUUCUUGCUGCUGUUACUGCAUAUUGGAAAAGUUUACAAUCUUUUCUAUUUAUUUCAUUUCCUAUUAUCCCUAAAAGAAAGGCCUCUGAUUUCUUAACAAAUGUAUAUUUCAACUUUUUUUUCAAUUCAUUAUAUAUCAAUUCCCAGAAGCUCUUCACUUUCUUACAUUCCCACGACAUAUGGUAAAAAGUACCAUCCUUUUCUUUACAUUUCCAACAUUUCUUGCAUGUUUUAUACAUUUUUGCAAGUUUUACCGGUGUAAUAUACCAUCUGUAGAUCAUUUUCAUAACAUUUUCCUUUAGCGCAGUACAUGCGGUAAAUUUGAUAUUUUCAUUCCAUAAUUUAACCCAAUCAUUAAAUUGUAUAUAUAUCCAAAAUCUCUGGCCCAAUGUAUCAUAACAGAUUUAACUUCUUCAUCCUUUGUAUGCCAUUCCAGCAAUAUCUUAUACAUUUUAGAUAAGAUUUUAUAUUCAUUAUUUAUUAUUUCCAUUUGGAACUUUGAAUCCCUCUCUACAAAUCCAUAUUCCGUAAGAUCUUUUUUAAACAUUUCAUUUAUUUGAAAAUAGUACAACCAAUCAUAUACAUACAGUACUCUUUUACUUCUUCAUAGGGUUUCAUUUUCCAUUUCCCCCCUUCCUUAACAAUCAAAUUUCCAUAUGUAAUCCAAUUUCUUCUCAUAUUGAUUUUUUUAACACUCAUAACCUCUAAUGGAGAUAACCAGUGCGGAGUUUUUGGUUCAAGUCGGUUUUUAUACCUAUCCCAUAUUUCUAUCAACGAUCUUCGGAAAAUGUGGUUCUCAAAACCUUUAUGGAUUUUCUUCUUUUCCAACCAUAGAUACACGUGCCACCCAAAUCUGUUGUCAAAUCCUUCUAUAUCUAACAACUCUGUGUUUUCUAAUUUUACCCAUUCCUUUAACCAACAGAGACAUGAAGCUUCAUAAUAUAAUUUCAAAUCUGGCAGGGCGAAGCCUCCUCUUUCUUUUGCGUCUGUUAGUAACUUAAAUUGAAUUCUUGGCUUCUUGCCCUGCCAGAUAUACCUUGAAAUUACUCUUUGCCAUUCUUUAAAGGUCGUAGUCCCUUUGAUUAUUGGAAUUGUCUGAAACAAAAAUAACAGUUUUGGCAGUACGCUCAUCUUUAUCGUUGAAAUCCUUCCCCACAGUGAUAACUUCAUUCGUCCCCACACCUCCAGAUCUUUCUUUAUACCAUUCCACACUGGUAUAUAAUUAUUCUGAUACAAAUCAAUAUUCUUAGGGGUUAUCCAAAUACCCAAAUAUUUCACCUUCUUCACCACUUCUAUACCUAUUUGUUGUUGCAUUAUUCCUAUCGUCUCUUGAUCCAUGUUCUUAGCAAUUAUUUUAGUCUUUUUCUUAUUCAAUAUAAAUCCUGCCACUUGACCAAAUCUUUCCACCUCUAUAAGUAUAUUUUUAACACUUUCCAAAGGUUCCUCCACCGUUAGAACCAGAUCAUCGGCAAAGGCCUUAUAUUCAUUCAGGCCUACCGCAACCCCUUUUAUUACCUCAUUUUCCCUUAUGGAUUUUAGAAAGACUUCCAGGACCAUAAUGAACAACAGUGGCGAAAGUGGACACCCUUGUCGUGUACCCUUGGUUAUCCCUUAUUUCUUCCGUAAUCACGUUAUUAACAAUUAACUUAGCUUUCUGUUCAGUAUAUAUUGCCUUUAUUCCAUUGAGGAAUUCCUUCCUCACCUCCAUAUAUUCUAAAUUUUUUAACAUAAAAUCCCAAGAUAUAUUAUCAAAGGCCUUUUCUGCAUCCACAAAUAUUAACAUAGCUUGUUUCUCAUUCCUGGCAGUCAGAUAUUCCAAAAUGUUAUUAUAUUCCUUACAUUGUCUUUCAUCUGUCUGGCAGGUAGGAAACCCGCUUGGUCCUUGUGAAUAACUUCUUGUAAUAUUUUUUUAAUCCUCUUUGCUAAAAUACUUGCAAAGAUUUUGUAAUCUGUAUUUAGUAACGAAAUAGGCCUAUAAUUUUUAACUUGUGUCAGAUCAGAAUCUUGUUUUGGAAUAAAAGUAAUAAAUGCUUAUUUCCAUGUUUCUGGAAUUUCUCUUUCCUUAAGAAUAUUAUCCAUGACUUCUUUUUUUUUUUUUAAGAAUUAUUUUUUAUUAACCAACCAAUCACAUCAAAUCAAACCAAAUUACAUAAAUUCCAAAUUACACAGCCGAAAUUUUAAUUUUUGUUGGGGGUACCCAUAUUUCAAGUUCCGAAGGGAUCCAAUCAACUUCUUGAUUCUUACUGCUGUUUUAAUGUCCACAAAUCUAACCUUAUGAUGUUCACAGUACUAUCCAGUCCUUUCUUAUUAUUUUUCCACAUCUCUUGUUGUUAUUUUCAUAUAUUUUUCCUUUCUCUUUGUGACCUCUGAUAGUCUCCGCAAGCUGGUUAGAACAGUUUGUAAUCCUGUGUGGAUUUUUUUUUUUUAUCCAGUAGCCAUAUCCAGACGUUUUCCAUAUAAUAUCACUUCCAUACAUCAAAACAGUCUUAGCGUCAUUAAUCUUCACCAAUCUGCCUCCUUCUCAAAACCUCUGAGGAGAUUCACUAGGAAUGCAGUCUGAAAACAAAUCCGUUCUUUCUCCCGGCUAUAAAUCCUUUGGCAAGAUGGCAACUCCAAUUAAUUGCUGCGCCAUUCCCAAAAGCUCUUAUUGCUUCUCGGUCUCCAUAAAGCAUACUUUGGUUAAAGUUUAUCUCCACACAGACCUUAAUCAUCCUGCUUGGGUCAGUUCAACCGACGGUUCUAAUGAGGAGGGGUUCUUGUAAAUCACAUAGAAGGAAAGUAAAAAAGGUCCCCCCCCCAUUCAGCCCCCGUGUGAAAAUACCCCCCCUUUGGUGUAUCUUCAUCGUAAAAAAAUGCUGUUUAUCCAGCCCGGCGGCUUGUUUGGCAGUGGUCACUUAAAUUAGCAGACUUCACUCCCCUUCACUUGAAAUAUGUGCAUUUGCUUCUUUUGUAAUUAAUUAUUCCAAAUUGCUGCAACUAGUGCGCGAUCAGAGACAGCGUCCAGGAGUGCCGAUGUCCACACGGGGGCAUUCUGCCUAGGGCCCUCACCCCCUUCAUUUGAAUUAGGGGGUGAUUUAUGGGCACAGCAGGCAAGGGCAGUGUUCCCCAUUUCCUUGGGGCAACAAGGGAGACUGCCUACUCCCAUAACAGCCUCUUAAUUACCCCGUGUGGGUCGGAGAGAUGGUAUUGUUGGCCAUCUUCCAAUGCGCCCCCUAGUGGCCCCCAUCCACGACUUCUUUCAAGGGUGUUGACAGGAUGUGUUUCAUUUCUUUAUAGUAACUUGCUGUAAAUCCAUCUGGUCCCAGAGCUUUCCCUUUUUUGAGUUCUUUUAUAAUCUCUUUUAUUUCAUCAAUUUCUAUUGGGGCGUUCAGCUUAUCUUUUUUUUCUGUCGGGAUCUUCUGCACCUUUUUUUCAUUUAGAUAUCUUUCUAUCUUCCUCAUAUUGUUCUUCUCUGUUCUUUUAUAUAGAUGUCUGUAAAAAUCCAAGAAUCCUUUUUUAAUGCCUUUUGGACUGUCUAUUUCUUCUCCCUCCCUCUUUUUUUAAUUUGCCAUGCCAGCCAUUUGCCUGAUUUGUUAGCCGAUUCAAAGUUCCUUUGUCUCAUUCUUUUUAUAUUCCAUUCUACUUCUUUGUUGAUUAUCAUCGCAAAUUGAGUUUGCAGAGCCUUUAUAUUCUGUUUUGCUUUGUCAUUAUUUGGUUUCUUAACUAGUUUUUGUUCGUUUUCCAUUAUUUGUCUUAAGAUUUCCUUCUUCCCUUUUUCUCUGCUUUUAUUUUUGAUUGAAUUCUGCUGGAUGAAAAAUCCUCUCAUAACCGCAUCCCAUACUGUAUUCAUUUUCGUACCUUUGUUAGAAUUAUUUACAAAGUAGUCGAACAGAUUCUUUUGGGCUUUCUCAACAAUUUUUUGAUCAUCUAGGAGAUAAUCAUUCAUUCUCCAUCUGAACGAUUUUUCUUCGUAUCCUUGUAAUUCAAGUUUUAUUGGACUAUGGUUUGAGAUUACUCUAGGUUGAAUUUCUAUUUGCCUGAUUCUUGGAGUUAAUUCAUUUGAGACCCAUAUUUGAUCAAUUCUCGAUAUUGACUGAUUUGGGUCUGAAUAGAAUGUAAAUUGUUUUUCCAGUGGGUGUCUCAAUCUCCAAAUAUCAAUUAAAUUGCAGUUUUUUAUCAUUGAAAAAAAUGGCUUUGGUAAUUUCCCUUCUUUGCUAAGCCCUGCUGCUCUUAGUAGGAACCAGUUUUGAAAGGGGGGACAAACCCAGUGGGUCCAUUUUUGCUUGCGCCAGAAGACGUUGCUGAACUCCCAUAAUCAUGGUGAGUGCAAGGGUGUUGUAAUCUAUGUAUUCACACAUCACCAUCGACUUUCUGCUUGUGACCAUUGCUAUAUUUCUCCCCCUUUGCUCCUGGCACAAGCAGGAUAAACAAACCUGGGAGCUUUGUUUUCCCCAUUACAUCUGGUCAUGGUUUGUUGCUUCCUAACAAGCCACAGUCAGCAGGCCAGCCAUAAGCAGGGACUUCAGAUUGGCUGGCAAUUGUUGCUUAUUAUGAGAAGGCCACAGUCCCGGGUUCAGACGUGAUGUGGUGCCAAGGCCUUGUGCUUUGCUUCUCCUGCUUGCUCCAAGAGAGAACAGCAUGAGGAGCAAUUGGGCAGCAUGUGCUACAUAAUGCAUUAUAAAAUGACUCCUGUUAAGGUGGAGAUUUAUUGCUUUACUCUUGGUGUCCGGCACGCUCCCCUGCACUCCUCUGCAGGUUGUAAAGCAAUUAGCAGAAUUGCACAGCGUCCGUGUCGGAAGGGCAGUAAAGACGUCCCACACGUUUCUUCUUUCCUAAUAGCACUUUAUUUGCUCAAAAGUAGCAUAUUUACAAUUCAGGAGACACCAUCUGAAUCAAGCUGCAUUUUGCGUCCUUCUCUCAGUGUGCAGCUGCGUAGCAAAGCUGCUUUCACUUUUCACUCAGCUCACAGCAUUCCAAGCUGCAUUCGUCACGUCCUGGCUUACUUCCCUUGUAAGCGCCUCCUCUCAGCCUCGAGACACAGAAGGUUAACCCUUCACUACACCCAACAUGUAUGUGGGCCUAUGGCCGCUGUAUGUUUACAGUGUCUAGGAAGCUGCUUUGUAUGCAAUCAAUCACAGUCUUCACUUAGACUAAUCUGCAUAAUAACAAAUCACCAUUUCGCAGGGAAUGCAUGUUUUAAUGCUCCCUAAUGGCAAACUCCUUGCUUGUAGAAAUAUCUUUUUAAAUCCUAUCCAAAUGGCAUGUUCUUGUCUCAGCUCCUUGUCUCAGCUCCUAAAUUACCAUUACCGAAAUGGAGAUCUAGAAAAUUUCCACUUCCUGCCUACCUUGGGAACCAUCACGCGCCUAUUUAUGACCUCUAGGUCAUCAGCUCUCCCAUCUCGACUCAUGGAGAUAAAGGAUACUCUAUGGUGGUUCCACUCUCUCCGCCCAGUGAGGGUAUUUAAGGACGAAACAAGGAGGCAAUUGGUUCCUUGCAUAGAGUCAAAGCUAAUGCGGACAAGGGAAAGCAAGCUUAACACUAGAAAUACUAACUGCCCGAAGGAAGAAAAGAAUUCUGUAAGCCUAGAUUUACAAGACCUGAAGAAGAGGCUAAUGAGUAUAAAGACUGAGAUUUCUACCCCAAAUAUAAGGACAGUAGAGCCUAGAGCACAAUAUUUAAAGAGGUCCAACAGCUCUUUAUCCCAUAGAAAGACAUCAGUGCAACUCCCUGUUCCCUUUUCAAGCGACACCAAAGUAGAUGAGGAAUUUGGCGCCUCCGACAUUUCUAUGGCAACAACUGUUACGAUAUUGAAGCAAUGCAGCCGCGAGCUGCUGGUAGCUUGAAAACAAAACAUAAUGGGAAUGUUGGGACUGUUCCGUGGGAAACAGAGGGACAGUCAAUUCACAGUGCAGAGGGCACCGGAAUUAGCUCAGAGUGUAAUAUGAGCUGGACAGGAAGUACAGGUUUUGUUUCACUCUCGACUGCUGGAGCUUGAAGAGAGCAGUCAUGAUUUUUGUAACGCUGCAAAGACAGAAAUAAAGGCAUGUAAAUACGUUUCUGUCUAUCUCUUUCCCCUGCCCGGGGGGGGGGCAGGAAAGAGGGGGUGUGUUCUUCUCACGCUGAGAAGGAUCGCCUAUCGCGACCUAGCCUGGAUCCUGCUGGGGAAUGCAGACAGGGAGGUCAACAGGAGAUCAAGCCGGGUGCCUGGAGAGUGGCCAGUUUCUCCUGAUAAAGGCUUGAUUCCCAACAUCUGGUAGCAAGGAGCCGAUGGUUUUGAUCCAUGAAAGCAACAAGAGAGGUUGAUGGAUCGUACUUCAUCCUCUGCAAGGAGAUAAAGAAAGAAUGUGGUAGCGGGAGGAUGGAAGCUACAAGGACGGCUGAGCACCGGAGAAGGUGUUUUUGCUGAGCAACGGAUUCCCUCAAGGUAUGGUGAUUUUAUGGCUGUUAGAGUGAACGCGAAUUGAAGCAUUCUUCGGUUCACUGAGUGUCUGCUUUUGGCUAAAAAGAGCACGGAAAAGAAAGCCUGCAUAUUUCGCAUUCCUGAGAUUGAUAAGGUUUGCUGCUCAAACCUGGAAUGUCCAGUUGCUAAGCAACAAAACGUCAGUAAAGUGGAAAGUUACUAGCCAACACGGAAGUGAGGCUGGCACCGUGAGAGGCUGGAAAAACACUGAGAAAACAGCGUUUGUUUUGUCUAUUAUCUCACUGCUCUUGGAGGGACUUUCAAAACAGCCUGCGUUUAGCUGCCAAGUGAGGCAGUAAACAGCCAAUAGACUCUUGGAUUUUACAAGCUCACUGCUGAAAGCUGAGGCUUGAGAUUGAGAUGGCUUUGUUCUCUCAGAAGCUCCGAAAAGCUUGUGAAGCUGGAGUGAGAAGCAAGAGCCGAAAGUGUACUACCCCAGAAGGGGGGAGCCAAGAUGGUGCUGGCCAAAUUCCUAAAAGCUCAUCGAAAGCUGAGGAGAGCUUUGACCCCAAAAGGGGGAGUGAAGGAACUGUUGCUGUUCCUGUACUUGCUGCAAUGGAUGUUGCUGACAGGGGGAGAGAAGCUCGGAGUUGUAGCGCCCCCACUGCCAUUGCAAGGAAAGAACAGGCUGUUGCUUUGAAUGUUGUCUGUUGUUUCAAUUGUGGACAGACUGGGCAUCUUCAGCGGAACUGUAAGAGGCCACGUCAGCAGAAAGGAGCUAGGGGAAGCUCUGCAAAGCCUGAGGUGUCAGGCAAAAGUCGUACCAAGUCCCAAGUGGAACUAGCUAUGGCUUUGAUGUCACUAAAAGCCACACCAGAAGUGGAAAACGCUUUUAUUUUGGACACUGGAGCGACGCAACACAUGACGUCGCGCCCAGAACUGUUUUCUACGUUUAAGAAGCAAAGCUUCGCUGUGAAACAGGCCAACGGUCAGGAGCUGAAAGCGACUGGGUUUGGAACUGUGUAUCUUGAGAGUCUGAACUUGACUAUUAACAAUGUGUAUUUGGUUCCUGAUUUAAAGUUCAAUCUGCUGAGUGUUUCGCAGAUCACAAAGAAAGGACUGACUUUGUCCUAUGAUAGAGAAAGCUGCAAAAUCUUCAAAGAUGGAGAGCUGUAUCUUUCUGCCAGAGAGAAAGAUGGACUGUAUUUGUUGACUUUUGAUCAAAGUGAUUGCAUAAAUUGUAAUGCAUCUGAGUCUAACAUGAUUUCUCUUGCAGGUGAGACGAAAAACGUCCAGAAGACGACGCAAGUAACCAAAGCUUUUCAGCGAGUGUAUGCUGAUGUGAUUGGUCCUCUAGCACCAUCUAGAGGCAAUGCAAGAUAUUAUCUUGUGUGUGUGGAUUAUUUCUCUCAUUAUGUGUGGGUAUAUAUAUUGCAGAAACCACAAGAAGCCUUAGAAAGGUUUAAAGAGUUUUGUGACAAGGUUAAGAAUGUUCAUGAUGCUAACAUUGAUUGUCUUUUCACAGAUGAAAAGCCAGUUUUUCUUUUGCAGGAUUUUCAGGAUUUCCUGGAUAAGAAAGGGAUAAGGCACAAGACUGCUGUUUCAGCAGGUGCAUGGAACAAAAGUAUCUGUAUACAAGUGAACAAAGAAUUGCAAAAUGGGAUGAAGGCGCAAUUGCUGAGUUCACAUUUGCCACAUGAGUAUUGGGUGGAAUCGUUAUUGUGUUAUUGUUACAGUUGGGUGAGAAAGGUUUCAAAAGGUUUAGGAAGUUCACCUUUUGAAAAGCUGUUCCACAGAAAACCUUAUGUUGCCCAUUUUAAGGUUUUUGGGUCUCAUGUCAAAUCUGAUGCUCCAGGUGGAGUAAAGAAUGCUAGAGGCAUUUUUGUGGGAUAUGAAAAGGGUCUCUACAGAGUAAUUUUGUCUGAAUCUGGUCAAGUGAUUCUCACAAAAUUUCUAGAGAGUGCUCCUGAACAGGAGAGAGUAAUUGUUCACACAUUUCCCACUGAGGACAAUUCAGAUGAUGAUGAUGAUUUUACUGAUUACAGUGGUACUGAGAGUGACAGUGAUAGCUCAAAGAGCUCAGUUGACACAGUCAUUGAGAGGAAAUCUCACACAAUGGAUAGACCUUCACAGGUGAAGGAUGAACCACUGUUUACUAUUGGAACUGGUUCUCCAAAGAGUCCUGAGACUGAACCAGUGAGCAGAGAGGAUCAGCACCUUAUACGCAGGUCCGAGAGAGUUACAAAGGGCGUACCACCCAAGAGGUAUUCAAAGGAGUUUGCUAACUCAGCUGUAGCAUGUGUUACUAUUGUUGACAACUCAAGACAGGUUAAAGGUGUGUCUAAGUCAGAGACAAAGACACAACAGAGAGUUGCUAAGCGUAAUGCUACAUUCCCUAGCCAAGGUAAUGCAGAUGCACUCAUUCCUUGGAAGUCAGACAACCAGAGAGGUACACUGGGGAAACCAGUGGCGGGUAGUUCCAAGGGUGGAACUGAAACAACAGGGAGUGUUAUAUGUAUAACAACUGUUUGUUUUCUUCUCUGGAUCACGCUUUGCUCGCAGCGCACAUUGAUUCAUAUGGGGAGUAUGUUACGAUAUAGAAGCAAUGCAGCCGCGAGCUGCUGGUAGCUUGAAAGCAAAACAUAAUGGGAAUGUUGGGACUGUUCCGUGGGAAACAGAGGGACAGUCAAUUCACAGUGCAGAGGGCACCGGAAUUAGCUCAGAGUGUAAUAUGAGCUGGACAGGAAGUACAGGUUUUGUUUCACUCUCGACUGCUGGAGCUUGAAGAGAGCAGUCAUGAUUUUUGUAACGCUGCAAAGACAGAAAUAAAGGCAUGUAAAUACGUUUCUGUCUAUCUCUUUCCCCUGCCUGGGGGGGGGGCAGGAAAGAGGGGGGGUGUUCUUCUCACGCUGAGAAGGAUCGCCUAUCGCGACAUAGCCUGGAUCCUGCUGGGGAAUGCAGACAGGGAGGUCAACAGGAGAUCAAGCCGGGUGCCUGGAGAGUGGCCAGUUUCUCCUGAUAAAGGCUUGAUUCCCAACAACAACACCUAAAGAACUCUACAUUGCUGACAAUCUGGAGAAAUCCAGCACCCAAUCUACAUCUGGACCUUUGCCUAAUGUUCCAAAAAUUUAUCAGAAUGAUCAACCUUCUCUACUGUACUCCUGGCGAGACAGGAUGGACAGAUCUUCCAAACUCGAAGCUGGCUCUUUGUUGGCCAGUGAUCCACAUUUUAUAGCACAUGCCUCAUUAAUACUCCCACAGCCACAGAUAGAACCAACAGUCCUCCAAUCAAUCCAGGAGGGAGAGGGGGAUUGACAGUUAAUGAAACACUGUGGGACCACCCUCCCCGCUUGGGGUGUGGUUGGUUGGGUUUUAUCUUCUAGGGAUACUUACCCUAUCAAACCUUCACCUCUUCCCCUUACCAUUUUGACCCAGGGGUCCUGGCCCAGGGAUGACUUGUCAGUGAGGGUAUGUUACCCCUCUAUUGGGGAGGCUAGUAUGGGGUCUGGGGUUCCCAUUACUGAAGGGCUAGGGAGGAAUGGCGGUGGGGCUAGAUAUCACUAUCGGCGAAGGGUUUUGAGAUGCAGUGAUGCUCGAACCCCUUCCAAUCUACUCCCCAUUCCAAGGGACGAGGGUAGGGCGAGCAGGGAUUACCCACCUCCGUCAUUGGUGUUCUGCAAUGCCAGGUCCAUAGGCAACAAAACCGCCACCAUGCGUGACUUUUUUGUCUCGCAGGGGAUUGACCUGGCUUGCGUGACGGAGACUUGGGUAUGGGAAGGCGAAGUAGUCUCCCUACAUGAGAUAACACCCCCAGGCUUCUCUGUCCUCCAUCAAUCGCGGACUGUGGGUCGGGGGGGGGGAGGAGUAGCGUUGUUAAUCCCAGAGGAUUGCUCUUUCAGAGCUCUGCCAGCACCGGCAAUCUCCGGCAUUGAAUGUGUUGGUCUCGUGUGGGGCACCAAGGAGAGCUAGGCUGUCUGGCUGGUGUACCGACCACCCAGCGCACCGGCAGCCACCCUGUCAGACCUGCUGGAGGUGGCGGCAGGCUGGGCCUUGGAGUUCCCAAGCUUAUUGGUUUUGGGAGACUUCACUGUCCAUGCCGAUGCCGCCCACUCCUCACAGGCUCUGGACCUAGUGACUUCCAUGGCAACACUAGGGCUCUCCCAGUUUGCUUUGAGCCCCACUCAUCAAGCAGGCCACACGCUGGAUCUGAUCUUUGGUGCUGGCAUAGAUGUGAUCAUGCUCCCCCCCUGUGGAAGUGCCAUGGUCUGAUCACUACGCUCUGAAAGCCAAGAUUGACUUCCCGCUCCUCCCCUGCUCGGGUGGCGAGCCUAUUUGGGCUCGUCCGAGAAGGCUGAUGGAUCCUGAUAGAUUCCGUCAGGCCUUGCGGGACCCUGCUCCUCCUGGCGACUCAUUAGAUGACCUUGUUGAGGACUGCAAUAACCAGCUCUUGGCAGCCAUUGAUGAGAUCUGCGACCCCAUUGAAACCGGGCCCCUUGGUUUACUGAGGCGCUCCGGAAAAUGAAGUGGGAUCUCAGACGGCUAGAGCGGGUAUGGUGACAGACUCGUGACAGAGCUUCAAGAACAUCUUAUAGGACGCUUAUGAAAGCCUAUGAGAUGGCUAUGAAAGCUGCUAAGAUAUCUUACUUUGCAGCUUCCAUUGCAUCCGCUAGCUCUCGCCCGGCACAACUUUUUAGAAUAAUUAGGUUGAUAAUGUCCUUAGGAGGACAACCAAAUUUAAGCACAAAUUCGACCCACAGCUGUGAGGCAUUCAUGAGCUUUUUUGCGGAGAAAGUCCUGUUGCUCCGCCAUGACCUCCCUGCCAAUUUAGAUACAGUGACUGAACUGGAGGCUCCUUGACUGUCUUCGGGUCCAGUGUUGGACCAUUUCAAUCGGCUACUCCCUGCUGAUGUGGAUAGAUUCCUCCAAGCUGGUAGGCCCACCACCUGCCUCCUCGAUCCAUGCCUGUCUUGGCUGAUUAGGGCGUGUCCAGAUGUUGCACGGACCCCCCUGGUUGUAAUUAUCAAUUUGUCCCUUUGCACGGGGACAUUCCCAGGGGAACUGAAAGAAGCAGUGGUGUGUCUGCUCUUAAAGAAAAACUUCACUAGAUCCUUUAGACCUAUCCAAUUACCGGCCAGUUUCAAAUCUUCCAUAUCUGGGUAAGGUAAUUGAGAGAGCGGUUGCUGAACAGCUUGGUAGGUUUCUGGAGGAAACAUCGGCUUUAGGUCCAUUUCAGUCCGGGUUCCGUCCUGGUUUCAGGACCGAGACGGCUCUGGUUGCCCUAACAGAUGAUCUCCGUAGACAACUGGAUCGAGGCAGGUCAGGACUGCUGAUUCUUUUAGACUUGUCAGCAGCCUUUGACACGGUCAAUCAUGAUCAUCUGGACCACUGCCUUGUCGACGUGGGGAUACAGGGCAUAGCUGUGCUCUUUUAUCUCUGGUCGGGGACAGAGGGUGGUGCUAGGGAGGGAGAUGUCGUCGUGCCACUACUUAGUGUGUGGAGUGCCGCAGGGCGCAAUCCUCUCUCCGAUGCUUUUUAACAUCUUUAUGCGCCCCCUUGCCCAGAUUAUCCAGAGCUUUGGGCUGGGCUGUCACCAAUAUGCCGAUGACACUCAGCUCUAUCUGCUAAUGGAUGGUCACACCGACUCGGCCCCAAACACACUGACCAGAUGCUUGGAAGCUGUGGCUGGAUGGUUUUGUGGGAGCCGAUUGAAACUAAAUCCUUCGAAGACAGAGGUCCUAUGGCUGGGUUGGGAUGGCAUGGGGAUGAGGGACCAACUCCCUUCUCUUGCGGGGGCCCAAUUAGUGCCAUUGCCUUCCGUUAAGAGUUUGGGUGUAAUCCUUGACGCCUCCCUUUCCAUGGAGGCGCAGGUUACAGCAACAGCCAAGGUGACAUUUUUCCACCUUCGCCGCAUCAAGCAGUUGGUCCCUUACCUUUCCUGCCCCGACCUGGCCACAGUGAUCCAUGCGACGGUCACCUCCAGGCUUGACUACUGUAAUUCGCUCUACGUGGGGCUGCCCUUGAAGUUGUCCCAGAAACUCCAGUAGGUGCAGAAUGCUGCAGCGAGGCUCCUCACGGGGUCUCUGCCAUGGGAGCAUAUUCACCCAGUGCUUUUCUAGCUGCACUGGCUCCCGGUGGAGUACAGGGUCAGAUUUAAGGUGCUGGAUUUGACCUUUAAAGCCCUUCACGGCUUAAGACCUACAGGAACGCCUCUCCCGGUAUGCCCCACGGAGGACCUUAAGGUCCAUAAAUAGCAACACCCUAGUGGUCCUGGGCCCUAAGGAAGUCAGAUUAGCUUCAACCAGAGCCAGGGCCUUUUCAACACUGGCUCCGGCUUGGUGGAACGCUCUGUCUCAUGAGACCAGGGCCCUGCGGGAUCUGAUUUCUUUCCGCAGGGCCUGUAAGACAGAGUUGUUCCGCCUGGCCUUUGGCUUGGAGCCAAUUUGAUUCCCUCCCCCUCUUUCUUUUUCCUUUCUCCUCCUGUGAUGAGGCUGCAUUUUAAUGUUUCAAUAUUUUAAUGCUGUAUUUUAAUUUUGUUUUUAAGUUGUAUUCAUUCAACCUGUUUUAAUUAUUGCUUGUUAGCCGCCCUAAACCUGCCCUUGGCUGGGGAGGGCGGGGUAUAAAUAAAAAAUAUUAUUAUUAUUAUUAUUAUCAUCAUCAUCAUCAUCAUCAUCAUUAUCUGGGCACAGAUAUCCUUGUAAUCCUGGUUUCGGCGCUCAAAGUCUUCCAUGUGGGCAGCAAGGUGGGAAUUGACCAUGCAGAAGCUGGUAUUGUUGCAGACAAGCCUCACGGCCACACACCCCUUGUUACCCUGCAGGGCGGAGCAAAGAUGGCUGUUAGUGAGCAAGCAGGAAAGAGGGGAAACUGGUUGGCAGAGAUUAGAAAACAGAUAGACAGAAAGAUGACGUAGGAAUUCCGCUGUCAGGGUCUACUCCCCAUCUUCCCCAUGAUGCCUGUGCCCACUGUCUCCCUCAUCACUUCCUUGAUGCGGCUGAGCUGGUCCUUCCUGACAAAGAUGAGCAACAUCAUUCCGACUAGACGCACCAGCUGCACCUAGAAGAUGCAAGGUACUGGGAUGUCUACCAGCUCUGUUCAUUGCUUGCUGUCCUGGGCCGGCUGGAUGCAGAUAGGAGUGGCAGGGGGCACCAACUGGGGAUCCCCCAAGGGAAGAAGGCUCAGAGCCAGGGAACUGGUAGGGGGACGAAGUCGCUGAGUCGUCCGAGGGAGAAGAGGGAGCAGACUGUGAGCAAGAGGAGGUGUUGGAAACUGAAGAGGCAGGAGGGCAGGAAGAUUCUGUGGCAAACAGCAGCCCAGAAUCCGAGGCAGAAGUGGAGGCUGGAGGCGGGGGUCAAGAGGCAGAGAUCAGGCAGGCUGCUGAAGAAGCCAGGGGUCUCCCCAUCCUGCUGCGAUCAGCUCCCCUCCCUGCUGGUCUCCCAGAACACAGAGAAAUUAAGAGGAUGGAGCAAAGACAGGCAAGGUGUCAGAGUCUCAGGUUGCUUGGGAAGGACCAGGGGGAGGAGGAGACUUCAGAGAGUGGUGGGAGGGUAGCAACCUUCAGCCUUCACAACUACCUCACUGGGGCAAGACCUGUUGGGAAAGGUUUCUGUGAUCACGAGGCCUGCACGGUUUGGGUUUCUUUGAAUAAAGAAUGUUGGCUUCUUUUGAAUAAAACACCACUGACACCAGGUGUUUUUUAUUGCUGACCUCCUCCUCCUCCUCACUCCAGCUCCUGACAGCUGGCUGGCUGCUGAAGAAAUGGGUGGGAUUGGACUUACUUUCUUGUACUUGGAUUUGGAACGCAAAGCCUUUUCUACAACUGUCAGCCACUCUUGCUCCUUUGUUGAGUCCAAGUAGAAGAAAGCCUCUGUGCUCAGGUCCAGCUCCUGGAACCGAAUGCCCAAGUGCCAAAGAGAAGGAUGUGGAACUGCAGGAUUAGGAUUCCAAUCUGAACAGACGUGCUGGUUAAAUAUGCAAAGACAACAGGAGUGUGUGGCAGGUAGGAUUACAAGGGCAGGCAAGAUCAGGACCAAGAACAAACAAGUAAUACCAGCCACUUCUUCCUCAGCUUAGCUAUUCUGGGCCCCAAAGGAGCUUUGCUAAUGAAAGAAAAAAGCUUUUUCCUUGUAUUUUUAAGAUGUGUCAGCCAGCCUGAUAUCUAAGCACUAUCCCAGUAGCCACAGGCAACCAGAAAUUCUUUGAAGGCAAGUGAGUUGGUUGAUCUCUCCAUUCUUCCUUCACCUGGCAACCUGGUUUCCAGGCUGGCUUUCCGGGAGCAGAAAACCACCUCUCAGAUCUGCUGUGCCAAGCUUGUUUGCUAGAAGAUUACCCCGUAACACCCUUGUCCUCUUUGCAAACCUCCUAAAUGGCUAGCCUUCUGUGUUUCCAUGCUGGCCAUGAAGGAAUGGGCAUUCCCGACUCUGAAAACAGCACAGAAAUACAGCCUGUCUAGUAAAGGGGUACACAGAGCAAGCUAAACAGCCUCUGUAAAACAGUAGCAUCUGAAGCUGCUAACCACAUACUGAUAAACAUAUCAUAAAAGCAGACAUGAAAAACAAAUGGCCACUGGGUACUACUAACAGUGGGACACGGGUGGCGCUGUGGGUUAAACCACAGAGCCUAGGACUUGCAGAUCACAAGGUCGGCGGUUCGAAUCCCCGCGACGGGGUGAGCUCCCAUUGCUCGGUCCCUGCUCCUGCCAACCUAGCAGUUCGAAAGCACAUCCAAGUGCAAGUAGAUACAUAGGUACCGCUCUGGUGGGAAGGUAAACGGCGUUUCCGUGCGCUGCUCUGGUUCGCCAGAAGCGGCUUAGUCAUGCUGGCCACAUGACCCGGAAGCUGUACGCCGGCUCCCUCGGCCAAUAAAGCGAGAUGAGCGCCGCAACCCCAGAGUCGGCCACGACUGGACCUAAUGGUCAGGGGUCCCUUUACCUUUACCUUACUACUAACAGUACGAGGAAAUAACCAAAGCAAAAACUUUGUUUGAAGUAGUAAGCUGAGCAUUAUAAGGAUGACCCACACCAAGUGUGUGUGGGGGGGUCACACCUCCCUGUCCUCCAGCACAGCUUUUAGGAGGAGUUCCAAAGGUUUUGCUUCAGUUUUGGAUUAACUGCAUCUUGUCACAAUGUCUGAAGCUGCACAAACCGCUUCAUUUGAACCAUGGCUCAUUGAAACAAGCCAACUUCCAAUCGUGGGUUUACAAAGCUGGUAAAAUUAACCACCAUAGGAUCUGGACACACCAAACUGUGGUUAAUUUAAAAUCCAAGUGGAAGCUUCCCAAUAGGCUUGGGGUGGGGAGAGGUGUGCAAACCUGGAGGAGAGGCUGCCGUCCUGCUCAUAAAAUGAAGCCACGGUUCAGUAUGUGGCACCAAGGAAAAUUGCCCACCACAACUAAUACUUUCCAUUACCCACCCAUGUGGCCUGAGUGAACAGGACAGACUUUGCCUGGCACCCAACAAUAAAGCUGUCAUGUAGAUGUCGCUUUCUCCAGCCCCAACUCUGAUACAGGUUCCACUGGUGCUUUGCACUUUUGCAUGAUCUGACCUGAAAUUCUGGGUGUUGACAUAUUCCUUCUCUCUCUUGGCGAGGACGUGCUUGAUGAGUCCCUCUCUCUGUCCGGACUGCGUAUGUGUGGAAGGCACAAAGAGCUGGCGCAUAGUGUGGGUCAUUGGGGUUGCUUCUUGCUCAUGCUCUCCUUGUCACGGAUACGCCUCAGGGAGAUGAGAACAGAACUCAAGUAGUACAUAAAAGCAAGGAGGCGGGAGGGCACAGUACACCUCUAAGGCAACUUACAGCCUGCUUGGUGGCAGCGGUGGGGGUGGAGGCUCCCGGCGGGCACUCAUUUGCUGAUUCUGCAGGUUUCUUUCCUUCUCCAUGAAGUUAUCCUCGAAUCCCAGAAUUCCGGAGAGAGGAAAAGACUUCUGAGGUUAGAGAGGCUUCAGAACCGUUUGGGGAAGUUUCGGGAAAGGAACUUAGAAAAUACUUAACUGCAGGAAAAUCUUCCUGCCUCCCCACAGCACCACAUUUGCCGGACAAUUGCCUCUCAGCUUAUGCACGUUAGGAAGGAUUGUGGAGGCAACAGGUCCUCCCCUCAAGGCCUUUUCCUCUAAAGGAGGUAGACUGGUCUUCUCCAAUCCUCUGGCCACUGCUGAGUUUUCCAAACUUGCUGGCAUAUUGCGUGUAGCACCUUAACAGCAUCAUCUUUAACAAAAUUUAAUAGUUCAGCUGGAAUAUCAUCACUUCCACUGGCCUUGUUAUUAGCAGUGCUUUCUAAGGCCCAUUUGACUUUGCUCUCCAGGAUGUCAGGCUCAAGGUCAGCAACCACACUACCUGGGGUGUAUGAGACAUCCAUAUCUUUCUGGUAUAAUUCCUCUGUGUAUACUUGCCACCUCUUCUUGACGUCUUCUGCUUCUGUUAGGUCCUUUCCACCUUUGUCCUUUAUUAUGGUACUCUUUGUAUGAAAUGUUCCUUUCAUAGCUCCAGUUUUCUUGAACAGAUCUCUGGUUCUUCCCAUUCUGUUGUUUUCCUCUAUUUCUUUGCAUUGCUCGUGUAAGAAGGCCCUCUUGUCUCUCCUUGCUAUUUUUGGAAAUCUGCAUUCAAUUUCCUGUAUCUUUCACUAUCUCCCUCGCAUUUUGCUUGCCUUCUCCCAGUCCACCUUUCCUUUUGAAGCAAAAUGUCCUUGAAAUGGGGAGAAAUGCCCUGCAUGAAGUCUUGGGUUUGCAAUUUGGGGAGAGGGAAGACUGUCUGCGGCGCUGGGGAGCGGGCAGGCUGGCGAGGCCCCUAGAUCUAGAGGCCCUAGGCUUCAGCCUACUUAGCCUAUACAUAAAUCCGGCCCUGCCUAUGUCACAGUGAGCACAGGCCCAUCGAUCACGUGCAAGGCAUUCUGCGUGUUGGGAAGGAGCCUCCUGUUCUGGGCCAGGGGAAGAGUGACACCAGCAGAAGACUGGGUGGUGGGGUCGAAGCUGAUCCCGGGGAGCACGUGAGGAGUCAAGGCUUCCCGCAUGAAGGCCUCGCUUCCCCUAGAAGUCCCUGCCUCCUGGUCUGUGUUCGCUUUCUUCUUCAGGUACAGCGCCAGCAUGUUCUGGAUGGUGCACCUGCUUUCGGGGAGAGCUUGUCGAACUGGUCCACACUAGAAGAAUAGCCAUGAGACGGGUGAGACUCCUGCAAGGCGUCCCCAAAGUCAGGGGAACAUAAGCGCAUUUGAAGAGCCUUGCUGGGUCAGGCCAAGGCCCAUUCAGUCCGACAUCCUGUUGGCAUAGUGGUUCCUUCCAGAUGCCCAUUUUUGUCGAUUCUUGAUUGUUUCUAUCAUUUCUAUCAUCAGUAGGAGGGCAGUUAUAUGCAAGACUGUAUUCAGUACUGUUCGUGCCUGCAAAGCUUUCGGGACAGACAUACUCCGACCCUUCCAACCAGUGCCCCCUAACUUCCAGCUGAAACCAGGUACCUUUUUCAUACCACAAAUGUUCUUCAGUGGUGAACCACGGCAUCUCAAAUUCCGCAAGGCUUCACGCCAGUGUGACCAAACCAGUUGCACUCCCCUAAAUCCACCUAAAUGUUAUUGGGGGGGGGGGAUUUGUCCCACUUAAGUUGCACUUUAUAGCUCAAGAGGGCCCCUCUGGCUGAUAAUAAUAUAGUAGCACAGGGGACGCAUCACAGAACAACUUGCAAAGCAAAAUGACAUGUAGUUGGUCCACCACAAUUGCAAGAUUAUUGCAUCCACGCUGUGGAGCUGCCUGGAUGAGAGAUGGGCAUCUUCGGCCAGUCAGGGGUGAAGAGCUGGCAAGAUCCCCUGUACUGAGCAGAAAAGCAAACUCUUUGGCCUCCGAGAUCUCUCCCAACUCUCAGCAGCCCUCACUGUGAGCCAUACUAGAGGAAUUUUGUCCUGCUUUUCAUGAGCUACAACACAGGAGCGCACCCCCAGGGGGCCAUGAUGUGGUAACCCUGGCGAAGCAUUGCAGAGCAACUGAGAAAGCAGAAUGAUGUUUGCGUGGACAGUCCAUUAGAAAGCUGCACUAUUAUUGCAUCGAGAGCACUUUGCAGAAUACGGCCCCCCUCCAGGCAAAAACAUCCGUCUGGAGGCACAGUAGCUUUCAUUUCGGAGGUUGUGGUUUUACAUUUUCCUAUUUAUUUAUUUAUUCAAAAUUAUUUAUUUAUUUCAUAAAAUUUAUACACACCAGAUGGUAAGAAACAUCAAAGCCGUUUACAGAAAGAUAAAACCAUAAAAUCAGGAAAAACCUACAGUACAUUACACACUGAAGAAGUGAAUACCAGAAUAGAUCAGAACUCACUCCCAAGGUAAGGGGAAGAGAACAUGGCUAAGAUGGCAGGACAGCUUACUCUAUGAUGUUAACCCCUUCAUGCACUAAUUAGACUGAAGCAUGUUGGUUAUAUGAGACUGGUUAUCCCACACAACAUGCUCUCACACAACCCAUGCCCUCCAACUGAAAACCCAUUUCCUGGACAAUAUCAACAUUGUGUUUUGUGCCUGUGAACUGCACAGUGAAUAUUUUUAUUAGAAAAGAAAACAGCCCGGUAUUUCAGCUUCUCAAAGUUGUUUUAUUCAGUGCGCUGCUACAGCUUGUCACACCCAAAUCCUCCAAAGGAAUCUGCCAAAGUGCUUUUCCAGGCAAAAGGGGGCAGAGGGAGAGAAACCAAGAACCUCAAAUUCACUAGACCAGGGAUGGGGAAUUUGGUGACCCUCUAGAUGUUGUUGGAUUCCAUCACCCCUGACCGUUGGCCAUGCUGGCUGAGGCAGAAGGCCAUUGGAUCUAGCAAUAUCUGGGAGCCCACAAGAUUCCCAGCCUCCACCCUACACAAACAACCAGGCACUCAGCUGUGAGGCAUGCCUCUUACCAGAGGGAGGGUCACUCCAGAGGCAGCUGUGGCAUGAGGGUGCUGGAUCAUGCCUUUGUGGGCACAUCUGAGGAUUAAAGUGGAGUCCCUAGGAAGCAUACUUGGAGAUCUUCCUUACCACGUGGCUCUCUGGCAAAAACACAACAGUACUAACGGCCAUAUGGAACCACACCUCAAAGCUGGAUCAGACUUCCCAGAUCCUGUAGCCUACAUCAGGAGGAAGACUGGGGCAGAGGGGCCUAGAGUGGGAGUCAGAGCUGCUCUUAGGGCUGCAUGUCUGAAGCAUGGGCAGAAAUCUUUGGGUGUGAGGUUGCAUGGGGCUGUCUCUUUGUGUUUUGGUGAUGCCAAGCCGCCAGCCAGCCAGAGGCAGGCAACCAACUGGCUUCAGGGGCAAGCUCCUUUGCAAAGCCAGUCUGACUUCACCAAAUGCAAUGGCAGAGUGUCCAUUUGGCCCGUGUUCUGCUUCGCUGUGAAAUGGCAUGUGUUCCUCAACCCAGAGAACCUCUUUUUCAACAUCAAGCUGGUCUAAGGAAGAAAAGCAUAAGAGUUAGUCUUGAAUCCCCCCCCACAUGUGCUGGGAGAUGCCUGCACACCGCACGUGUAAAGCACAUCUCCUCCCACCCACACCCAAAAAGUCCUGGGAACAAUGGUUUGUUAAGGGUGCUGGGAAUCGUAGCACUGUGAAAAGAAAACUAAGGUUCUUAGGAUUCUUUGGAGGGGUGGAAUGUUGAAUACACAGUGGCCACAUGGACGGACGGACACACUGUUGGGUUGAAAUUCACUCUCAAACACCACAUACUGAGCAGGGGACAAAAGCAUGCGCAUCAGGUCUUUCCAGUCCUGAGGUAGCAUAAUGUAACCAGUUGCUAUGCCUUCUAGCAUUCCCGUCACAUAAGAGGAUUUCAGACCAGAAUCAGCAAUGGCUUUCCUUAAUUCCCUCAUUACAGAAUAAGGAAGCGAUUCAUAAUAAAUCUGCUGUUGAGCAGUUCCAGGGUGUGAAUAAGAGAUAGGGAAAGCAGACGGCAUUUCACCUGGCCACUCAGACUCCUCCUCUAAGGACAGGAGCCCUUUCUGCCUUGCCAAAGAGAGCGCAGCGCGCACAGCUCCUAUAGAGCAAACAGGGGCUGUGGCAGACGGAGAAGGGAUGGGGGGGGAGGAUGCAGGCUGAGGAGGGAGAGACGCAGGGAGGGAUUGGCUGGGCUGCAAAGGAGAAGAAGGCAAAAGUUUCGGGUAGGGUGGGGGAUUGUCUGCAAUGGCCAGAAGAGGAGACGCCUGGGGUCCCACUUGGGGCCCUAAUUUAGCAACGGCGUCUGCACAUUUCUGCCAAGUGAGCAGACAAUGAAUCGGAGCCCUUGGUUCUGUAAAAAGGGUCUUUCCGAUCUUUUGCCAAGUCUCUACUUCCAAAGAUCCUUUCUCUGGAUAGGAGGGAAAUUGGCAAGAAAUCUCACAUAGCAAUUGUUCAAUUUCUUUUAAGGAAAUAUUAACACCCACCUCCCGCUGUCUAACUAAAUAAAGCAAUUCUUUAGCAUGCUCUUUCUGGAAUUUAGUCAAGUCCACUCCCAUACUCACGAAGUAGCGCGCUGAGACUUUUCCAGUCGGGUGAAGUAUGAGGUUUGGCUGCGUAAGGGAUCUGGCACGUCAGGGGUCACCAGAUGUUGGGUUGAAAUCACGACAGACGAGUGGUGGGUGUCAAAGGAGAGGCGUCUGCCGGGGCAAGCCCCGGGAACUCUCUUUUAUUGAAUAUUACAAACAUUGCCACAGGUGUGCUUGUGGCUGAUACAAACACAAAGCAAACUGUUGCUGAUUGGUUAACAUAGGUACAAGGCGGGCAUUACAUAUUACAUUAAUCACUGAUAGUUCAAAGACUGGGAAACGGAGCUGGAACUAGACAGGCAUGAAACCUCCUAAUUAAAUUAUAACUAAAGAUUGAUAUUGAGAGAACAUAACAUGAAGGAAUACAACAAUCACGUUCUGUAGAUGUGGUCAGCAAUGCAUUAAGAACAGGUCAGGAUACACUGUUUCAUGAACUCAAUGGGAACUGUUCAGAACAUUCUCAGACUCUUGUGCAGAGGCAAAAACUUCCCAGAAUGUAAGAGAGAAAAGAAGCAAUAGUUCUAAAAGCAAGACUUUCCCACAAUGCCACAGUUAUG